GGUGUUGUUUUUAUUUGAAUCGUGAGUGAUUUUAUUAUUUAAAAAAAAUGGGCAAACGAAAAAUUGAAAAUGAAGAAAAACGGAAGAGGGAGCCAAAUUACACGAAGGCUGAAACAAGGCGGCUUUUAAAAAUUAUUGCUACUAGGGCGCAUAUUAUUGAAAAUAAAAGAACCGAUUCCGUCACGUGGAAGCAGAAAGAGGAGACGUGGAAAGAAAUUGCUGCCGAAUACAAUGCAAUAACAGGAAAUGUAAUCCGAACACCAGAAAGGAUUCGUCAAAAGUACGAAGCGACGAAGAGAGAUAUAAAACGCAAAGUUGCGUUCAAUAAAAAAGAAACGUACAAAACUGGUGGCGGAUCUUCCCAGUAUAUGAGUUUUGAAGAUUAUGAGACCGAACUGUUAGAGUCCCUAACAGUGCCUGUCAAUGGACUUCCAUCCGAAUUUGAUUCAGAUGAGGGAUUGAUUCCUAUGAGUGAGAAUACAUGGGCUGCAUUCACAUUUUUACUGUCACUAUCGCUAAUUUAAGCAAAAGCAUCAAACAUUCCUUCAAAAUAUGCAAGUUUAUUGCUCUACAUCAAUUUUUUCUUCAUAAAAUCACAGUAAAAAUAUGGAUAUUAUAUAAAUAGAUAUUAAUUUUGAAAUAUAAACAAUUGUUUCAAUGUUUUAGCAAUGAAUGGUGAAACAUCAGAUAACCCGAACAUUGAAAUUGGAGUCAAUGAGGAUCUAACAUCAGAUGCUCAAGUGCCACAAAUAAUAAUUGAUGAGGCACAUGUUGAUCCAUCUGAAACAGAGGAAUCCAUCGUCCCGGGACUUUUGCAGGUUUGCUCAAAGGACGGAGGAGAGGGUUCAAGUACAGGAGUGAACUCAAAUAUUAAAUGGACGGGAUGGUCUCCUGCACAACUAAAAACAAAAAAACAUCCUCUCCUAAAUCAAAAAAAGGCAAAGGGGCACUGUACCAAGGACCAAUUAAACGUGAAAGUGGAGAAUGUGGUGAACUCACGUCAUAACCUUGUAGAAUUGCAGAAGAAGUACCUGGAAAACGAGGAGCUUCGUCGAGUUGAAGAACAUGAAUUAAAAAUGGCAAUUCAGAAACAGAAAUUAGCCGCUUUGGAUUUAGAAAUCGAGAGGGAACAGAAACUGUAUUUAAAAAAAAUGGAGUUACUAGAAUGUGAAUUAUCGAUUAAAAAAAAAACACUAGAGUUGCUAGAAAAAUAAAA